rnacentral:lncRNA from 1 species
AUUGAAACCCAACAUCAAAUGUCUAACCAGAUUUUUCUAGUAUUUCUUCUUCAAAUUUUUAUAUUAAAAAUUAGAUCUAAUCUAUUUUUUAUCUUAAAAAAAGUAGAAACAAAAUUUGAAAGAAGAACUCCUUUGUCUUCAAGGCUGUGCACAAGAAAAAAAGAUCCUUCUUCUUCCUUGAUCUUUCUCUCUUUGAGAAGAAUUUUUCUUCUCCAAUUUUCUACUAUAAAAC